rnacentral:rRNA from 1 species
CCUACGGGUGGCAGCAGUGAGGAAUAUUGGUCAAUGGGCGUAAGCCUGAACCAGCCAAGUCGCGUGAGGGAUGAAGGUUCUAUGGAUCGUAAACCUCUUUUAUAAGGGAAUAAAGUGCGGGACGUGUCCCGUUUUGUAUGUACCUUAUGAAUAAGGAUCGGCUAACUCCGUGCCAGCAGCCGCGGUAAUACGGAGGAUCCGAGCGUUAUCCGGAUUUAUUGGGUUUAAAGGGUGCGUAGGCGGGAUGCCAAGUCAGCGGUAAAAAUGCGGUGCUCAACGCCGUCGAGCCGUUGAAACUGGCGUUCUUGAGUGGGCGAGAAGUAUGCGGAAUGCGUGGUGUAGCGGUGAAAUGCAUAGAUAUCACGCAGAACUCCGAUUGCGAAGGCAGCUUACUAAACUGCCACUGACAUUGAUGCUCGAAAGUGUGGGUAUCAAACAGGAUUAGAUACCCGAGUAGU